AGUGUCUUCGUGAGGAAGAAAAAUUUGCCAUUUGUUUCCGAGACGCUGGACUUGAAUGUGUCUUCCAAGUUGAUUGGUGUCGAUCUACAUUUUUAGCCAUUAAAUGUAAUUGGCAAUCUGGCAUAUAAUUUCACUUGGCCGAAUGUGAUGACGUGGGUCGAAACCGCUGUCCAUUUUGUCGAAAUGUCGGCCAUUGUUAGCUGUAUGUCUCAUCUCGUGCAGAAACACUUCAGAGCUAUUGAUUUUCAGGUCGGAAAUGGAGAUCCCUUUGCUCAACUUUUGCAGAAAUUUAGAACAUGACAAAGUCUGAGCUUCAUGGCUGUAGUAUCAUUAAUGUGGUUUUGUUGCAGCCAGCUGGUGAAAGGUGUGAUCAAGUCAUGGUUGAGUUGAAGCUUCUGCUUGCAGUUUAUCGAGCUGGUGCUAUCCCAAGUGUAACUGCAGGAAAACUUCUUGAAUUGCCAGGUGAAGUCUGCGCUUUUUUUGCAGUCUUAUGUGCGCAUGGAUUCGUUGCAGUCAUCCAGUGAAAGGUGUGAUUAAAUUGAGCUGUUGCAUGCAGUCUUUGGUGCUGAUGUUGUCCUGGAGUGUGGGAGAGUCCCAUGCUUCAAGUCUUCUGGGAUCAGCUAUAUCUGAGUUGACGCUAGAUCAUGCUGCAUUGUGGUUGCCGAAAUGUUGGACAUCUAGUAGAACUGCAAGAAGACUCCUUGAAAUGGUUUAUGUUUACGUAGCAGUGAUGUUGCUGUCCAAUAUGGCAUAUGUUGUUGCAGCCUAUACUGGUGAAAGAUUUUUUGCAUCGAGUUAUGCUGUUGCUGUUCCUUGGUGCCGGACUGCUGGUGUUGUCCACAAAACUUACAUCCAGUUUAAAUUGUUAUUUGUGUCUAUGCAGUUAACCGUUUAUAUGUUGAAAAAGGAACAGAAAAGUUCCUUGGUGUUGAAUCGCUGGUGUUGUGCUACAUAAGUUACAUCCAG
rnacentral:lncRNA from 1 species